rnacentral:lncRNA from 1 species
CAACUCUAGAGUCAUGCCACUCCAGCUCCCUGCCACCUCCACAUCUCCCAGUCAGCCUCUUGUUGGCACACUGAAUCACUCUGGGGCCAGAGAAAUUCAAGCCAGCUGCAGAAAUUUGCUUGAGUAGCAAGGAGCCCAAUGUUAAUCCUCAAGACCAUAGGGAAAAUGUCUCCAGGCCAUGUCAGAGACCUUCAUGGCAGCCCCUCCCACCAUAGGCCCAGAGGCCCAGGAGGAAAAAGUGGUUUCAUGGGCCAGGUCCAGGGUCCUUGUGCUGUGUGCAGCCUUAGGACUUGGUGCCCUGUGUCCCAGCCAUUCCAGCCGUGGCUGAAGGGGCCAAUGUAGAGCUCAGGCCAUGGCUUCAGAGGGUGGAAGCCCCAAACCUUGACAGCUUCCACGUGGUGUUGAGCCUUAGGUUGCACAGAAGUCAAGAAUUGAGGUUUGGGAAACUCCAACUGGAUUUCAGAAAAUGUAUGGAUGCCCAGGCAAAAGUUUGCUGCAGGGGCAGGGCCCUCAUGGAGAACCUUUGCUAGAGCAAACUGGAAGGAAGGAAAAUGUGGGUUUGGAGCCCCCACACAGAGUUCCUAGUGGGCACUGCCUAGUGCAGCUAUGAGAAGAGGGCCACCAUCUUUCAGACCCCAGAAUGGUAGAUCCACUGACAGCUUGCACUGUGUUGCUGGAAAAGCUGCAGACACUCAAUGCCAGCCUGUGAAAGCAGCUGGGUGAGGGCUGAAUCCUACAAAGCCAUAGGGGCAGAGCUGCCCAAGACCAUGGGAACCCAUCUCUUGCAUCAGUGUGAUGUGGCUGUGAGACCUGGAGUCAAAGGAGAUCAUUUUGGAGCUUUAAAAUUUGACUGCCUCACUGAACUUCAGACUUGCAUGGGCCCUAUAACCCCUUUGUUUUGGCCUAUCUCUCUUUCGGAAUGGCUGUAUUUACCCAAUACCUGUACUUCCAUUGUAUCUAGGAAGUAACUAGCUUUCUUUUGAUUUUACAGGCUCAUAGGUAGAAGGGACUUGCCUUGUCUCAGAUGAGACUUUUGACUGGAUUUUUGGGUUAAUGCUGAAAUGAGUUAAGAUUUUGGGGGACUGUUGGGAAGGCAUGAUUAGUUUUGAAAAGUGAGGACACGAGAUUUGGAGGGGCCAGGGGCAGAAUGAUGUGGUUUGGCUGUGUCCCCACCCAAAUCUCAACUUGAAUUUUAUCUCCCAGAAUUCCCACAUGUUGUGGGAGGGGUCCAGGGGGAGGUAAUUGAAUCAUGGGGGCCAGGCCUUCCCAUGCUAUUCUUGUGAUAGUGAAUAAGUCUCACGAGAUCUAAUGGGUUUAUCAGGGGUUUCCGCUUUUGCUUCUUCCUCAUUUUUCUCUUGCCACCACCAUAUAAAAAGUGCCUUUCACCUCCUGCCAUGAUUCUGACACCUCCCCAGCCAUGUGGAACUGUAAGUGCAAUUAAACCUCUUUUGGUUCCCAGUUUUGAGUGUGUCUUUAUCAGCAGUGUGAAAAUGAACUAAUAUACCAAGCUAUCACAUCACUGAGUGUGAUGGGCCAUCAGCACUGCUGUGAUGUCCUGCAAAAGUGGAAUUAUUUCUUGACUUGACCUCACUCUUAUGUACUUGAGAAGCUGAGUUCUCUUCUCGCAUGUUCUAAUAAACAAGUCUUAUAAGUCUGGCUCUGGUUAGCCCACAUGUUGAACCUCUUACUUGCAACCCCACUGAUGUGUCUCCCCUAUGCCUGGACAUAAGAGCCUCUCAAUCUCACAUUCAUCCAACAGCAUCUCUAGGUGUAUACUCACUUGUAGCCAAAGUAAAUUUUACACCAUGAUAAAAAUUAGUGUAAAGACUUUACAGGGAACCAAAGUGCCUGGGAAUUCUGAUGAGUAACUACUGAGUGGUUUUUUUUAAUCUCUUUAUUCAAUAGACGUAAAAGUUUAACAAUUGAAGAUUUUAGGUGCCUCGCUUUUACAUUAUGAUUUUUAACUAGUGCAUGCACAAAUAUGCUUUGGCACACAAUACCCUUUCCAGAGCCAUCAAGAUUUAAGUCAUAUUUUUAAGGACAGUGUUAAAAUGUUUACAGGUUUAUGACCCAUAAGUAUCUGGUUUAACUACUCUGUGCUGCAACCAUUUUUAUAAUUAUUUUCUCUUUCACAACUUUUACAGUAAUUUUAUAUUCAUCCUUGGAGAUGCCACAUUGUGUUUUCUUUUGGCUUACUAAGUGGACAUCACAAUCGGUUAAAAAUUUGCCAUUUGUGUGUAUCAGGGCAUAGAAGGUGGAGGAUAAUAGUGGGGGUUGUAAAUGUAUUGGAUAAAUUAUAUGGUACAAUAUGUUAGUGUUCAUUUAUAUCCAUCUAAUAUGAGCUUAUAUGUCACCCAAAGGUAGCCCCAGUUAGGCUGUGAAUACUGUGGCCCAGUAUCAAAGUGAUCGUAAGUUAUUCCUAGAAGAGCGUGUCCCUGCCAAACACAUAUCAGGGCUUCACAGUUUUGACCUUAUUUCAUGUGGUCCCUCUUGCAGCUAGAGUCUGGCACAGAAGGCAGGACUUCCAGCUGGUACUUUAGGUACAUUGGGGCACUAGAGAUAAUGAAUGCACUUGACAUUUACAGUUGGGUCUAAAUUCACAACUGUGUCAGAUAACAAGAGCUGGAUUAACGAGUGGCCAGUAUGCAGAGAUACAGACCAUCUCAAUGGAGACCUCCCUGGAGUAUCAAGACUUACAAAGAGAGAUGAACACAUUGG